UUUUGAUGUGUUUUUAGUGUUUUUCUGUGCAGGUCACGAGUUGAGGUGAUGAAGUGAUUUUCUAUCAUUUUAGGUUGUUUUUGGUGCAUUAUUUGCAAGAAUAGAGAAUUGUGGAUUCAUCACGACUUGGGAUUUUGUGGGUACAUCUUCUACAAACCCUCACGAGAACACACUCGUCCACUAGAGCUAUCUAGGGGUUUAAAGGGCUUGUUGCAUGUGCUAAAUGCAACCGUGAUCACCUACGGAAGUGGUACUAGAGCGAGGAAGGACAUGCACGCGAGAACGAGCUGAAAAACGAAGAAUUGGGCUGCCAGUGGCAGACAGUAGCGCGCCCGCGCUA
rnacentral:lncRNA from 1 species